rnacentral:misc_RNA from 1 species
AACGGUCUAUACCUGCGGUACCUGCGGAAGGAUCAUUACCGAGUUUACAACUCCCAAACCCCUGUGAACAUACCACUUGUUGCCUCGGCGGAUCAGCCCGCUCCCGGUAAAACGGGACGGCCCGCCAGAGGACCCCUAAACUCUGUUUCUAUAUGUAACUUCUGAGUAAAACCAUAAAUAAAUCAAAACUUUUAACAACGGAUCUCU